rnacentral:rRNA from 1 species
GUCGAACGAUGAACCACUUCGGUGGGGAUUAGUGGCGAACGGGUGAGUAACACGUGGGCAAUCUGCCCUUCACUCUGGGACAAGCCCUGGAAACGGGGUCUAAUACCGGAUACCACCAUCGCAGGCAUCUGUGGUGGUUGAAAGCUCCGGCGGUGAAGGAUGAGCCCGCGGCCUAUCAGCUUGUUGGUGAGGUAAUGGCUCACCAAGGCGACGACGGGUAGCCGGCCUGAGAGGGCGACCGGCCACACUGGGACUGAGACACGGCCCAGACUCCUACGGGAGGCAGCAGUGGGGAAUAUUGCACAAUGGGCGAAAGCCUGAUGCAGCGACGCCGCGUGAGGGAUGACGGCCUUCGGGUUGUAAACCUCUUUCAGCAGGGAAGAAGCGAAAGUGACGGUACCUGCAGAAGAAGCGCCGGCUAACUACGUGCCAGCAGCCGCGGUAAUACGUAGGGCGCAAGCGUUGUCCGGAAUUAUUGGGCGUAAAGAGCUCGUAGGCGGCUUGUCACGUCGGGUGUGAAAGCCCGGGGCUUAACCCCGGGUCUGCAUUCGAUACGGGCUAGCUAGAGUGUGGUAGGGGAGAUCGGAAUUCCUGGUGUAGCGGUGAAAUGCGCAGAUAUCAGGAGGAACACCGGUGGCGAAGGCGGAUCUCUGGGCCAUUACUGACGCUGAGGAGCGAAAGCGUGGGGAGC